GGGAUUGUAGUUCAGGGGUAGAACGUUUCUUUCGCACUGUAAGGACCCUUCAAAAGGUUCCAGUCGAAACUUCGGCCGUAGAAAAGGUCCCCGGUUCAAAUCCGGGCAAUUCCA